rnacentral:lncRNA from 1 species
CCCUGACUCCUGUGUCGAGAGGUCCAGGCUCUCCUGCUGGAGACAGAGGCUAUACAGUAAUGGGCCAUGUGGAGAGAGAAGCCACGAGGAGGAGACCCACAGUGUGCCAGCCAACAGCCCUACCUAAGUUGGGUCCUGUGGGGAAGGUCAUCUUGUCGGAGCCACGGUAACACCACACAGAGCAGAGCUUUGGUUGUGGAGCACUGCCUAAAUGCCCAGCCUGCAAAAUGUAUUGCUCUAGAUGGACAACUGAUCCUGCCCAGCCCCAGCAUCAGCAUCAGCAACAGCAGAAGAAGCAGAGAAACUUAUUGUUUCUUAAAGAGAGGACCUUGCAUGGCAUCUCUAGGUGGUCUGCUGGGAGCCUGGGCCCUGCCCUCUGCGUAUCCCUGGGUGAUGGGCAUGCCAACCACUGCUCUGCAUUCUACCAGUACGACAGCUCCCACUGGAGCAUUAAGAUCAUUGUGGGGCAUUUGAGAGUUGGCAGAAUGCACGCCAUGAUUAGGAAUGUGGGGUCUUCAGGAGCACCUGGGUGGCUCAGUGGGUUAAGCCAGUGCCUUCGGCUCAGGUCAUGGUAUCAGGAUCCUGGGAGAGAGCCCUGCAUCAGGCUCUCUGCUCAGUGGGGAGCCUGCUUCCCCCUCUCUCUCUGCCUGCCUCUCUGCCUACUUGUGAUCUUUCA